rnacentral:lncRNA from 1 species
UAGAUAUGCUACUUAACAGAAUAAAAGAUACUUUACGAAAUUUCGCAGGAAAUACGACUUUACAUGGAAUAGACAGGAUUUCAUCAAGGAAGCACUUCAUAGGAAAACUUCUCUGGGCUUGUAUCGUAUUGACGUGCGUGUCUACAUGUUUUAUACAAAUAUAUACACUUAGUGUCCAGUAUGCAAGGUAAGAAUUCUGUGUCUUAUACUGCAGCAAAUUCUAUAAAAUAUGUGUUUACAUAAACGAGAAAAGAAACCGACGGCCAAUGUUUUCUUUGCAUUAAUCAUAUGAGGAUUUUAAAGAACUCGAAAAAAAACUUGUGAAAUUAAAAUCAUAGUCAUUAAAAUCAUAGUCAUUUUCUAAAUAGAAAUACUUAUCAAACCUUUGAGCAUUCCUACCUUUUAGACAUCAAUAUCACAUGAAGAACCGAAAACCCGUCUUGAAGAAAUAAUUCACAAUGCUUUUCUCCAUAACAAUGUCACCACACGUUACACAUUAUUGCAUGUUUGUGGAAUAUAAUUCUACAUGUUUUGUUAAAAAAAAACAGCCCAGAAAAUGAUAGUCAACCGAUGAACAAGUGAUCAGUUUGAUGGAGUUUAUAAUUGACAACAUGUUUGUUAAAUUGUGGAAUAGUGUCUCCUUACCAAAAAAUAUAAGAAAAGGUUUCUGAGUUACAGAUUCUACGUUGUAGGUGCUAGUAGUCUGCUAUCAUUUAUUGUUUAUAUUCUUUUGUUACCUAUUCUGACAUCGGACUUGGACUUUACUGUGCGUAUUGUUGUGUGAUUUUUCUUCAUUAUGGGCUAGCGGUAUAGGGGGAGGGUUGAGAUCUCAAAGAACAUGUAGACUACACCGCAUUUUUGCAUUUGUCCCAAGUCAGGAGCCUCUGACCAAUGUUAGUCUUGGAUGAUUUUUAAUUUUAGUUUCUUGUGUAUAAUUUGAACAUGACGUCCAUUUUCACUGAACUAGUUAACAUAUUUGUUUAGGGGUCAGCUGAAGGAUGCCUCCGGUUACGGGAGUUUCUGGCUGCAUUGAAGACCCAACUGUGGCCUUCGGUCUCUUUCGGCUGUUGUCUGCUCUAUGGUCGGGAUGUUGUCUCUUUGACACAUAUCCCAUUUCCAUUUUCAAUUUGAUCAUGUUUUUGGCUUUUGACUUGUGGUUGUUUCUGGUGCAGUUAGAUCCUGAGGUGCGACACGGACAUAACGAGUUUUUACAGUAUUGAUUCUAUGUUGUUUACCAUAGUAUUUGUAUCUACUUAAUUUGUAUUUGAUCGAGAAAGUGUAAAUACUAUAUACACCAACGUAUGGUAUGAUAAUAAUUUCGAGUGCUUAUAAAAAUUAAGAUAUAUAUUUUGCAUUCCUUGCAGCAUGCUGUCUGUAGAAAUUACUAAGAAUUGCUGCAAGGGCUCGUUCUCUCCGCGAAAAUCAGAAUAUGCAUCAUAGUUUCGGCUUGUCGUGGCUGCAUAAUUAAACAUCGUGCACAACCAAACAGGCCCCUUUAUAAUCAUUUUUUUUUAUUGCUUCUGGAUGGAACAAGCCAAGGGAUGAAAAAAUUUGAAUGACUCUUUUUAUCACCAGAUCUCUCUUCAAAGUUACCUGAAAGUAUUUCACUAUCAGCGUUUCCAUAGAUGUAUCAAUUGAGAGUAAAAAUUAUGUUGAAAUCGCUUUGACAUGCUCAUUCUGUUUUGAAAAAUUCAAGGAAGCAUUUACGUAUUAUGUGCUAAAUCAUUUUAGAAAGCUGUGUUUUUCAUUUUGUUUUUAGCACUAAAAUUGAUUAAAAGGUAGUCUUUUUUUCGAGAUUACAAUCAUAAUAACAUUCCGAAAUCUCCUAAGCACUUCAGAAUGAUGAUUGGAUGCAAAGGUGAUGUAUGCCAAAUGUAGACCAAAGUUCAGUUAAAUUGUGUAUUAACAUAAAGAGAAAACACGCAAAAAAUUUAAUCAUUUUUACUAUGAGUCUACGGGAAAGGAGAAAGUCAAACAGACAAACAAAAGCACACAAAUUAAUAUUGAAAACCAACGACUGAGCAACCCGAACCCCACCUAAAACUUGGGGUGAUCACAUGUGCUCUGGAAGGGGAAGCAGACCAUGCUCCACAUGUAGCACCCGUCGUGUUACUCAUGUAAUUACAAACCCGAUGAUGAGUCUUAUUCUAUAGGUCUUUUUCUGGGAAAGAGGACGAUAUUGUAGGAAACUGUAUAUAAUUUGUUUAUCUAAUAAGUUGAAAUAAGAACGUUAAAUUUCUUGUCCAGAGGUUUUUUUUUGAUAUUUGUGACUAUAUGUCUUGAAAUAAGCAAGAUUGCUGACAACCGUCAUACUAUUUAACUGUUUGCAAUAAAUUAAAAAAAAUAAAAAGAACUGAAUGUGCAAAUGUCAUUUUACGUUUAAGAAACAACUUUCAAUGUUUCUGUUAUUGGCUUAACGUUCGACAGCAAAGAUUACACGCAUAUUCAGAACAUAUCAAAUACUUAAAGUUUGACAUUAUCAAAUUAUUUUACAGUAAACAAGUCAACACUAAAAUCUCCG